AUUGAACGCUGGCGGCAGGCCUAACACAUGCAAGUCGAACGAGUGGCGGACGGGUGAGUAAUGUCUGGGAAACUGCCUGAUGGAGGGGGAUAACUACUGGAAACGGUAGCUAAUACCGCAUACCAUCAGAUGUGCCCAGAUGGGGUUAGCUUGGUGGUGGGGUAACGGCUCACCAAGGCGACGAUCCCUAGCUGGUCUGAGAGGAUGACCAGCAACAGGGGAACGAAGACACGGUGAAGACUACGAGGGGAGGCAGCAGGGGGGAGGAUUGCAGAAGGGGCGCAAGCAUGAAGCAGCCAUGCGGCGUGUAUGAAGAAGGCCGUGGGGUUGUAAAGUACUUUCAGCGGGGAGGCGUUACCAGCAGAAGAAGCACCGGCUAACUCCGUGCCAGCAGCCGCGGUAA
rnacentral:rRNA from 1 species